rnacentral:misc_RNA from 1 species
GGACCAAGCACCUGCUGCUCACAAUGACGUCAUCAACAACCAGGGCACACUGGGACGGCUCAUAAUUAAAGUCUGUUGAUACCGCGACGUGUGAUAUUUUUAAAAAGUAAUAAAGAUGUAUUACUCAAGAAAAUGUACACCUAUGAUGACGUUAUAAGCAUAGCCAGGCUUAUAAGAAUUAAACUUUUGUGUAUAAAAUAAAGAUGUUCAUUAUAUAAAAAAAUGGCGUUGAAAAUGUAACAAUCAGCGAUGUGAUAUGCGUUUAUAUGAAUAACCAAAUUGGAUUAUUUAUGUGACUUUAGUAUCAUUUGAUCAUUUUGGGAAUUGAUUACACAAUGUGACAUUAUUAUCAUUGCAUGUAUUUUUAGAAGAAAGAGCAUUUUAAUCUUGCAAUUUCUUAAUAUCGAUCAUUAAAAACAUUAGAAUUAAUGUGAAAGAAUCUGGCAUGACUUUUUUCCAAACUAAGUUCAGCACAUUUUUAUUAUUAUUAUGUUAAUAUCUAUUAUGUUGUGAUUAUCGAAAAAAUGUGAAGAAUGCAAUAAAAAAUUCAUUCAACU